AUGAAUGCCCAACCCCUCAAAGUGAUUGUGUGGAAUGUUCAGGGCCUCAAUGCUCUGGCUCGUAGGAGUGCAGUUUAUCAAGUGGUUGCGUCGGCAAAUCCGGCUACUGUAUGCAUGUAGGAAAUGAAGUUACAAGAUGUAUCUCUGACUAUUGUACAAUAGUGCCUUGGUAAUAAAUUUGGGUAGUUUUUCUACUUGCCGGCGGUUGGGACUCAUGGAGGAAUCCUGGUGGCUUGGGAUGACUCAAUAACCCAACUGUCAAACCCACAUUACACGGAUAACACACUAACUGCAGGAGUGGUGGCUCACAUGUGUCUAUGGUCCUCAUGA
rnacentral:rRNA from 1 species